AGAGUUUGAUCCUGGCUCAGGAUGAACGCUAGCUACAGGCUUAACACAUGCAAGUCGAGGGGAAACGAUAUUGGAAGCUUGCUUCCGAUAGGCGUCGACCGGCGUACGGGUGAGUAACGCGUAUCCAACCUGCCCACCACUUGGGGAUAACCUUGCGAAAGUAAGACUAAUACCCAAUGACGUCUCUAGAAGACAUCUGAAAGAGAUUAAAGAUUUAUCGGUGAUGGAUGGGGAGUGCGUCUGAUUAGCUUGUUGGCGGGGUGGACGGCCCACCAAGGCGACGAUCAGUAGGGGUUCUGAGAGGAAGGCCCCCCACAUUGGAACUGAGACACGGUCCAAACUCCUACGGGAGGCAGCA
rnacentral:rRNA from 1 species